rnacentral:rRNA from 1 species
AACGAACGCUGGCGGCAUGCCUAACACAUGCAAGUCGAACGAGACCUUCGGGUCUAGUGGCGCACGGGUGCGUAACGCGUGGGAAUCUGCCCUCUGGUACGGAAUAACUCAGGGAAACUUGAGCUAAUACCGUAUAAUGACUUCGGUCCAAAGAUUUAUCGCCUGAGGAUGAGCCCGCGUCGGAUUAGCUAGUUGGUGAGGUAAAAGCUCACCAAGGCGACGAUCCGUAGCUGGUCUGAGAGGAUGAUCAGCCACACUGGGACUGAGACACGGCCCAGACUCCUACGGGAGGCAGCAGUGGGGAAUAUUGGACAACGGGCGAAAGCCUGAUCCAGCAAUGCCGCGUGAGUGAUGAAGGCCUUAGGGUUGUAAAGCUCUUUUACCCGGGAUGAUAAUGACAGUACCGGGAGAAUAAGCCCCGGCUAACUCCGUGCCAGCCGCCGCCGUAAGAC